CCUCCGGCGCGCUCAAGCUCGGGCCAAGGCCGCUCCGCAUCUGCUCUCACAUCUCGUCGUUCCCCAUCUCGGCUCACCCGCUCCUUGGGAGAAGGUGGAACUGGUGCGCGGACGGUAAGCCGGGUGCUCGAAACUGCAGAGCAUGGGAACUGUCAUCGCUGGCGAUGCCACAGUCCACAGGAGAUUGUGCGAGCGCAGUUGAAGAUGGGAAAUCGAUGCACGCUCCACAUGUUUUCUUACUAGGCCUGCUGGGUCAGCUCUCUUGCUAGAUGAUUGGUUGUUGACUACUUCAUCUACCUCUGCAGGAGCUGGAUGGGUUCAAAUUAGUACAAUUUGGGCAUGGGGUUGGGCGUGCCGGAGGUAGGCGACAACUCCGCCGGCCACGGAAAUCAUCUGGGUCAGCGACCUCGCCUCUUGGAGCUCAACUCAGAGAAACAAUGGCUGCCAGAAGAGUCCGCCCGGAUAAGAUGCAGCAACAACAUUUGGCCGAACACCUCAUAUGUGUUCGGCCUCCGCACUAAGCUCAAGGCUAGCCCCAUUGCGAUGUUGGCUGAACAAGCGCAGUCUUCAUCCACCCUAUCAUCCUCGUCGACCGCACCACCUUGACCUGAGGUUUCACGCAAGUCAGGCAAUAUGUCGUGGCGGUGGUCUAAGAUGGGAAGAUGUCCCACCAAUAUGUUAGUGCCUUUAGGCUCUGGCGUGUUGUACUGGAGGAGAUGACUAUCGAAUGAUCCAUCAUCAAAGAUGUCGACUGAAACACCACUUCAUGUCCAUGGAGUUGCCUACUUCCUGUCAGGCUGGUCUGGGCAACCAGGAUGAAAGUUCUUGUCCAGGGCGUCUCCAUUGGAUGUGACGACGAUAGGACGAGGACAUUACCUCUUCUCAAGGAUGUUGCCGCGGAAGAAGUCGACUUAGUCGUAGGUAUUGAUUUCAUAUCUUGUAAUGGUUUGGUAGUGAUCGUCUUUGCUAGCAAAGAAGAAUUGGAAAUUAGUCGCUUCCUUUCUGGACUCAAGUGAGCAAAAGAGUGAACUGCAUAUUAAUAGGUAAAUCCUACAUGCACUCUACUUAAUAAUUAAUAAAAAUGGAUGUGUCCUUCGCAACGAUGCAGAGGUCGAGGGUUAACCUCUUUUUGAAAGAAAAAAAUGAACACAUCAAUGUUUGAUCUAUGUUGUGUUUGUCCCUCAUGGUGGGCUUCAGUUGGUGUUGUCGAAAGAGAUGAAGCGAUUGGAGUUCGUUGGGCCAUUGUGAUGGAUGUUGUUUAUUUUUAAUUGUUUUUUAGCGUUGAAUAUUCACAUCCUUGUAAUUGUUUCAUUGACAUGAAUUAGAUUCAAAAUACCUUCUGGUGUCUCUUCUUGGUAUAAAAAUAUAUAUAUUGUUGUAUCAAAUAUCCUGUCAACUAUAUCUUGUAAGAACCUAGGAGUCAUUACCAUUUGACUGCAGCUCUACGCUAUCUCCCUUUCCCUAUAGUUCCAUGUUUUGUUUUGGCUUUGUGUGUUGAAGCCUAAUGGUGAUAGUUCAGACUUGAGAACAACAAAGCAAUAGAUGCCAAAGUUCUAUAUUCCCUCGCGCAUAUGAUACGAAAACAUGAGUGUUCUGUAACAAGUUUUAACGGUGGGUAAGAUAUGAUUCUCUCGUGAGUCUUAGGGUAUAUCUCUCUUCGGCAGUCGAAGGAAUACAGGCGAGGCGUUGAACUAAAGACCAAGACUUCUUAAGACGCAGUAGUACCAUGUGUCUGAUACAACACGCUAAGGGCCUGUUCGGAUCACAUGUUUGCAAAACAAAGGAACCUAGAGAAGUGGAGUAAUGAAAAAGAAAAGUUGAUGCAGAACAUAGGAUUGAAAAAAUAGAGGAAAAGUCCAUGAAGUAGUGUUCGGGACGGAGGUAGAAAGCAUACAGGAAAACAUCCAGAGUUAACAAACACGAUAGAGUAUUUUAUUUGGCCACACACUAUUGCGUCGUCACCUAUCCUCUCAUGUGGAAUUUUUUAUUCACAUUCGUACUGCAAUCAACGAUGGCAGCCUGAGCCUUGCCUCGGGCAUCCACCAAAAAAUGAGGCUGGGGUGGAUUUUUCUAAUCCUUUGGAAUCAGCGUAGGAAAGGAAGUUUCCCUCUGAAAUACUGUUCAUAAUUCCUGUGUUCCGAACCCAAGCAAAGGGAUAUAUUCCAAAGGAAUAGCUUUCCUGUAAAAUUCCUGUAGAGUUCCCUUGUACCGAACGGGGCCUAAGUAGGCUAAUCAUCAUUGGACUACUGCGGCUUCGCAAGUGGAUCAAUUGCUGGAGUAAUUAUUUUUUUAAUACACAACUUGCACGGUUGCACUCUGUCUCUUUUCUACCUCUCGGUUUUUCAAAGCCAAAAAACCUUGAAGAAUAUAUUCAACAUCAAGUGAACGAACAAAAUGAAAAAAAAAAUCUAAAGAUCCAUUGCUAAAUCAUGGACUAGCCAGGAUACCCUUGGGUUGUUGUAGUACUUUCCUUGAAACCGGCAGAUUUGUUGAUUAAUCAUGAAGCCGUAUCAGCAUAAAU